GGUGGUCCCACCUGACCCCAUGCCGAACUCAGAAGUGAAACGCCGUAGCGCCGAUGGUAGUGUGGGGUCUCCCCAUGCGAGAGUAGGGAACUGCCAGGU
rnacentral:rRNA from 1 species